ACCUCGGAUCAGGUAGGGAUACCCGCUGAACUUAAGCAUAUCAAUAAGCGGAGGAAAAGAAACCAACAGGGAUUGCCCUAGUAACGGCGAGUGAAGCGGCAACAGCUCAAAUUUGAAAUCUGGCUCUUUCAGAGUCCGAGUUGUAAUUUGCAGAGGGCGCUUUGGUGUUGGCAGCGGUCCAAGUUCCUUGGAACAGGACGUCACAGAGGGUGAGAAUCCCGUACGUGGUCGCUAGCCUUCGCCGUGUAAAGCCCCUUCGACGAGUCGAGUUGUUUGGGAAUGCAGCUCUAAAUGGGAGGUAAAUUUCUUCUAAAGCUAAAUACUGGCCAGAGACCGAUAGCGCACAAGUAGAGUGAUCGAAAGAUGAAAAGCACUUUGGAAAGAGAGUCAAAUAGCACGUGAAAUUGUUGAAAGGGAAGCGCUUGCAGCCAGACUUGCCUGUAGUUGNUUAUCCGGACUUUUGUCCGGUGCACUCUUCUGCGGGCAGGCCAGCAUCAGUUUGGGCGGUUGGAUAAAGGUCUCUGUCAUGUACCUCUNUUCGGGGAGAACUUAUA
rnacentral:rRNA from 1 species